rnacentral:rRNA from 1 species
GAUGAACGCUGACAGAAUGCUUAACACAUGCAAGUCAACUUGAAUUUGGGUUUUUAACUUAGAUUUGGGUGGCGGACGGGUGAGUAACGCGUAAAGAACUUGCCUCACAGCUAGAGACAACAUUUAGAAAUGAAUGCUAAUACCUGAUAUUAUGAUUUUAAGGCAUCUUAGAAUUAUGAAAGCUAUAAGCACUGUGAGAGAGCUUUGCGUCCCAUUAGCUAGUUGGAGAGGUAACAGCUCACCAAGGCGAUGAUGGGUAGCCGGCCUGAGAGGGUGAACGGCCACAAGGGGACUGAGACACGGCCCUUACUCCUACGGGAGGCAGCAGUGGGGAAUAUUGGACAAUGGACCGAGAGUCUGAUCCAGCAAUUCUGUGUGCACGAUGAAGUUUUUCGGAAUGUAAAGUGCUUUCAGUUGGAAAGAAAGAAAUGACGGUACCAACAGAAGAAGUGACGGCUAAAUACGUGCCAGCAGCCGCGGUAAUACGUAUGUCACGAGCGUUAUCCGGAUUUAUUGGGCGUAAAGCGCGUCUAGGUGGUUAUGUAAGUCUGAUGUGAAAAUGCAGAGCUCAACUCUGUAUUGCGUUGGAAACUGUAUAACUAGAGUACUGGAGAGGUAAGCGGAACUACAAGUGUAGAGGUGAAAUUCGUAGAUAUUUUGUAGGAAUGCCGAUGGGGGAAGCCAGCUUACUGGACAGAUACUGACGCUAAAGCGCGAAAGCGUGGGUAGAAACAGG